rnacentral:ncRNA from 1 species
AUGAAUGCAUGUUCGCCCCAUUUUUCUCGUAGCUGCGCCGCUGGUCGUUGCGAUGCCGUCAGGCAUGUGACGCGCAGCACGACGGUAAGAGCCGAGCCGCUUGUCCCGGUCGACGGGGCAGCGGCUUUUUUU